AGGGUGGUCUUGGAUGUGUCCAGGGGGGUGGUCGGUGCGGGUGGGGUCACUGGGGUGGUUGUCAUGGUCACUGAGGUGGCCGUGGUGGUCCAUGGGGUGCUGAUGGACACCGUGGGAAUCUCCUGGGUGGCCGUGGGGGUCCCAGGGGUCACCGUGGGGGUGUCCAGGCUGCUGGUUGGUGACAUUGGGGUCUCUUGAGAGGCCGUGGUGGUCCCUGGGUUGGCCGUGGGGGUCUCUUGGGUGGCCGUGGGUGACCCUGGGGUGGUCCCAGAGGUCACUGGAGGGGUGGACUCUGUCACAGAGGUGUCCUGGGUACCCGUGGGGGUCCCUGGGGUCAUCGUGGGGGUGUCCAGGGUGGUCUUGGAGGUGUCCAGGGGGGUGGUUGAUGCUGAGGGGGUCCCUGGGGUGGCCGUGGGGGUCCUCGAGGUUGUGGUGGGUGCCGUGGAGGUCACCUGGGUGGUCAUGGAGGUCUCUUGGGUGACCAUGGAGGUCACCAGAGGGGUGGGUGUUGUUGUGGGGGUCUCCUGGCUGAUGCUGGAGGUCCCUUGGACCAUCGUGGUGGUGUCCAGGGUGGUCUCAGAUGUGUCCAGGCUGGUGGUCAGUGACGUGGGGGUCGCCUGGGUGGCCGUGGGGGUCCCUGGGGUGGCCGUGGAUGACCCUGGGGUGGUCAUGGAGCUCCCUGGGGUCAUCGUGGUGGUGUCCAGGGU
rnacentral:lncRNA from 12 species